rnacentral:rRNA from 1 species
GACGAACGCUGGCGGCGUGCUUAACACAUGCAAGUCGAACGAUGAAGCCUAGCUUGCUAGGUGGAUUAGUGGCGAACGGGUGAGUAAUACGUGAGUAACCUACCUUUAACUCUGGGAUAAGCCCGGGAAACUGGGUCUAAUACCGGAUACGACCAAUCUCCGCAUGGGGUGUUGGUGGAAAGCGUUAUGUAGUGGUUAUAGAUGGGCUCACGGCCUAUCAGCUUGUUGGUGAGGUAACGGCUCACCAAGGCGACGACGGGUAGCCGGCCUGAGAGGGUGACCGGCCACACUGGGACUGAGACACGGCCCAGACUCCUACGGGAGGCAGCAGUGGGGAAUAUUGCACAAUGGGCGCAAGCCUGAUGCAGCGACGCCGCGUGAGGGAUGACGGCCUUCGGGUUGUAAACCUCUGUUAGCAGGGAAGAAGAGAGAUUGACGGUACCUGCAGAGAAAGCGCCGGCUAACUACGUGCCAGCAGCCGCGGUAAUACGUAGGGCGCGAGCGUUGUCCGGAAUUAUUGGGCGUAAAGAGCCUGUAGGCGGUUUGUCGCGUCUGCUGUGAAAGGCCGGGGCUUAACUCCGUGUAUUGCAGUGGGUACGGGCAGACUAGAGUGCAGUAGGGGAGACUGGAAUUCCUGGUGUAGCGGUGGAAUGCGCAGAUAUCAGAGGAACACCGAUGGCGAAGGGCAGGUCUCUGGGGCUGUAACUGACGCUGAGAAGCGAAAGCAUGGGGAGCGAACAAG